rnacentral:rRNA from 1 species
CGGGGUGCACCAGGCGCGAAAACUUUACAAUGCUGGCAACAGCGAUAAGGGGACCUCGAGUGCCAGGAUACAAUCUUGGCUGUCGCGAUGCCUAAAAAGCAUUGCAUAGCAAGGGCCGGGCAAGACCGGUGCCAGCCGCCGCGGUAACACCGGCGGCUCGAGUGGUAACCGCUAUUAUUGGGUCUAAAGGGUCUGUAGCCGGCCGGAUAAGUCUUUUGGGAAAUCCAGCUGCUCAACAGUUGGGCUUUCAGAAGAUACUGUUCGGCUCGAGACCGGGAGAGGUGAGAGGUACUUCAGGGGUAGGGGUGAAAUCUUGUAAUCCUUGAAGGACCACCAGUGGCGAAGGCGUCUCACCAGAACGGAUCCGACAGCAAGGGACGAAAGCUAGGGGCACGAACCGGAUUAGAUACCCGGGUAGUCCUAGCCGUAAACGAUACUCGCUAGGUGUCAGCCACGGUGCGACCGUGGUUGGUGCCGUAGGGAAGCCGUGAAGCGAGCCACCUGGGAAGUACGGCCGCAAGGCUGAAACUUAAAGGAAUUGGCGGGGGAGCAC